rnacentral:rRNA from 1 species
AGCUCCAGUAGCGUAUAUUAAAAUUGUUGCAGUUAAAAAGCUCGUAGUUGGAUUUCUGGCUCGUCGUCCUAGCCCGCUUGCUUCGGUGGGUGAGUGCUGGUACGAUCUGCCAUCCUUCCAGAAAGCCGUGAGUACCAUUCACUUGGCCGCUCGCGUGCAAUCUGGAUCAUUUACUUUGAAAAAAUUAGAGUGUUUAAAGCAGGCUUACGCCUUGAAUACAUUAGCAUGGAAUAAUAACAUAGGACUUCGGUUCUAUUUUGUUGGUUUCUAGGACCUUAGUAAUGAUUGAUAGGGAUAGUUGGGGGUGCUAGUAUUCGGCGGCCAGAGGUGAAAUUCUUGGAUUCGCUGAAGACUAACUACUGCGAAAGCAUUCACCAAGGAUGUCUUCU